CCUAGUUGUCAAAAGUUCGUACAGGUGACUUGUAAAUGUUUUGCGACCUUCUAAUAUGAUACUGGCAAAACAUUUACACGUACCUUGUAUGAACUUUUGAUUCUAGC
rnacentral:pre_miRNA from 1 species